rnacentral:rRNA from 1 species
GACGAACGCUGGCGGCGUGCUUAACACAUGCAAGUCGAACGGUAAGGCCCUUCGGGGUACACGAGUGGCGAACGGGUGAGUAACACGUGGGUGAUCUGCCCUGCACUUCGGGAUAAGCCUGGGAAACUGGGUCUAAUACCGGAUAGGACCACUGCCUGCAUGGGUGGUGGUGGAAAGCUUUUGCGGUGUGGGAUGGGCCCGCGGCCUAUCAGCUUGUUGGUGGGGUGAUGGCCUACCAAGGCGACGACGGGUAGCCGGCCUGAGAGGGUGACCGGCCACACUGGGACUGAGAUACGGCCCAGACUCCUACGGGAGGCAGCAGUGGGAAUAUUGCACAAUGGGCGUAAGCCUGAUGCAGCAACGUCGCGUGAGGGAUGACGGCCUUCGGGUUGUAAACCUCUUUUAGUAGGGAAGAAGCGAAAGUGACGGUACCUGCAGAAAAAGCACCGGCUAACUACGUGCCAGCCGCCGCCGUAA